AUGGCGGAGGCGAUGGAUUUGGGCAAAGACCCCAAUGGACCCAUCCAUUCCUCGACUCUGUUGGAGAGAGGGAGGACGGGAGAGGGAGGACAGCAGCUCUGUGUUCUUCCACGUGGGGCCCAGCCCGGCCGAGCUCAUCCUGCAGGGUGACCGCACUGUCAGGUCCAGGAGCCCGGGAGGCGCGGGCCGAAGCCCUGGGCCACUUCAUUUCCACAGGUACAUCCUGGACUGGUGGAGCCAGCGAGAGGCUGGAGCUGGAGCCUAUCGGCUGGGCCCCGCCUCGCCUCAGGGGACACUGCUCGGAGACAAAGCCCGGGGCCCUGGCCAAGGGCACCGCGGAGGCGCCUUCCCAGACGCGGAUGACGUGGCUGUCCUGACUGACGGGAAGGAAAAUGGCUGCUCGCCCAGCUCCAUCACCAGCAGCGGCUUGUGGACAACUCGCCCACGCAUCCCUGGUGGCGGUCCCUGAAGCCCCCGCGGGGUCAGGAGCACGAGCACUUGCCAGGGGACGCCUGGGGCGCCCCUCCUCCCAGAAGCUCCCGCGGAAGACUGGAGCAGGCCACCUGGCUGCGGAUAAUGGGAACCACAGAGUGAGAGAACUCCACAUCGGCCUGAAGGAAGAGCAUGUGAAGGUAGAAAUCCAGGAGAGUGAAGAAGCACUGUAAAAGAUGCUUGCAGAAGCCACCUGGGGAUUGGAGGAGGUUGUGGUGGAUGAGAGCCCUGAUUUGGAAAUACAUUUAACAAUGUGUGAUGAGGAUCCCCCACGCCUGAGGAAGACUCAGAAACAGAGCCUCAUCAGGAAGAGGAAGAGGAGGAAGAAGAAGAAGAAGAAGAGGAAGAGGAAGAGGAAGAGGAGGAGGAGGAGGAGGAAGAAAAGAAGAAGAAGAAGAAACAGUUUCUCCACUGGAGGUGGGAGCUGCCAUUAUGAUGAUUCCGCAGUUAAUGGAGAAGUUUAACUUGGAUCUAUCAACAGUUACACAGGCCUUCCUAAAAAAUAGUGGCGAGCUGGAGCUAGAGAGCUGAUGGAUAAAUUUGGUCCCAACAAGAUGACAUAGGUUUGUAAAAAGAUGAUGGGGAUAACAGAGAGGCAUUGGUCAAAAAAUUUGGUGCUCAGAAUAUAGCUCAGAGGAUU
rnacentral:lncRNA from 1 species